rnacentral:rRNA from 1 species
AACGAACGCUGGCGGCAGGCUUAACACAUGCAAGUCGAACGCCCCGCAAGGGGAGUGGCAGUCGGGUGAGUAACGCGUGGGAAUCUACCCAGUUCUACGGAACAACAGAGGGAAACUUCUGCUAAUACCGUAUACGCCCUAAGGGGGAAAGAUUUAUCGGAAUUGGAUGGGCCCGCGUAAGAUUAGCUAGUUGGUGAGGUAAUGGCUCACCAAGGCGACGAUCUUUAGCUGGUCUGAGAGGAUGAUCAGCCACACUGGGACUGAGACACGGCCCAGACUCCUACGGGAGGCAGCAGUGGGGAAUAUUGGACAAUGGGCGCAAGCCUGAUCCAGCCAUGCCGCGUGAGUGAUGAAGGCCUUAGGGUUGUAAAGCUCUUUCAGUAGGGAAGAUAAUGACGGUACCUACAGAAGAAGCCCCGGCUAACUUCGUGCCAGCCGCCGCGGUAAAAC